rnacentral:rRNA from 1 species
AAGUACAGUGAUGGAAAGAUGAAAAGAACUUUGAAAAGAGAGUGAAAAAGUNCGUGAAAUUGUUGAAAGNGAAGGGCUUGAGAUCAGACUUNGUAUUUUGCAUUCCUUACCUUCGUGGUGGGNUUCCUUGCAGUUUACUGGGCCAGCAUCGGUUUGGAUGGUGGGAUAAUGGCAUUGGAAUGUGGCUCUGCUUCGGUAGAGUGUUAUAGCCAGUGUUGAUACCGCCNGUCUAGACCGAGGACUGCGUCUUUGACUAGGAUGCUGGCA